rnacentral:sRNA from 1 species
GGGAAAAUCUAGUAAAUCUUCCAUGACUGUAAAUCUUAUUCGGUCAAUUCAAUUAUACAAAUUAGAAGUGUUCACUUCAAGUUCCUAACUCCUGGCUUACUGCAAUUUGGCUAACAUUCUUGCCAUAUAACUCAAAGAGAAAAAUUCAUCACCGCAAUAUGCGCAACACACACCAAGAGAAAAAAAAAUUGAAGAAAACUCUGGGAAAAAGAAGUGGCUGGUGGCAGUGGCAGGAAAAUUGUCAUAAAGGUGCAACUGACAACAGCAGAAGAGGCGAUGGCGAGGACACAGGACAUGGGGCACUACAGGACGAGAAUGAGGAUGAGGAUGAGGACUCGGGACACACACAGGACGCGGAGUCAAGGAGCCAGCGCGCAAAAAGUGUCAACCAACGCAAGUGGAAAACGCAAUUUCAUUAGACAAAUUGAAAAAAAUAAGUGCAAGCGUACACAACAACAAGAUCCAAGGACCAUGCGAGAGGCGCCUCUUUAUCCUUUAUGUAUAUAUGUACUAUAUAUCGUUCUAUGUAUAAACACUAUGUACCAAGAAGACUGACGCCAUAUUGCGGGCCAUCUAAAGAUUUUCCCUUGUCGCUUGCCAUUCGUUGCGAUUGUUUUUCACGCGCACAUACGUGUAGGAGCGGAAUGGAAUAUGUAUAUAUAUAUGUAAAGAUGUGAAUGGGCAUCCAACGGUGGAGCAGCCUUGUCCUUUUCCAACAGGAUGCUGCGCGCGCGUUGAAAAGAGGCGGAGACUCGCUGCCCCAGCGUAAAAAUAAAAAUAGACCAACACUUUGCGAGGAGCAGAGCGGAAAAAAAGGCAAAAGAAAGCACUGAAUGCAGCCGGGACUCUUUCUUAUCAACGGACUCGGUUCGGCAGCACUCGCUUUCCCCACUUUUCCCACUUUCCCGACUUUUCAGCCUUUUCCCCCAAAAAACGAUGCGACGUCGCUGAUUGGAAGCUUCGGCAAACAGCUCGUUUUUGGGGCGGAGCAUAAGCUUUCGUCGCAGUGGCGUCGCCAAAUGGGGGAGCAUUUCGCAACAAAGGG